AUCCGUGCGCUUUGAGGCUUUGGUAUGGCUCACGUGUCACACAAAGGGGAUGAAAAGAAUGGCGUGAAACACCUCGUGCAAGUGAAAAAAACCCCACCCCUAAUUUGGACUCUUGCUAUCUCCCAAUUCUUCCCCUGGCCUCUCCUCUCUCUGUCUCAGAAAGACAGUGGCGGACGGGCCGAGCACAAUGCAACGCCGCUGCCGAUGCGUGCCUGAGGUAAGCUCCUUGCUCCUUCUCUCUCUGUUCCCUCUCAUGGCUUCUCCCUUUAGACCUUGUUUAGUUCCUAAAAUUUUUUGUUUUGGGACACUAUAGCAAUUUUGUUUUUAUUUGAUAAAUAUUAUCCAAUCAUUAACUAGGCUCAAAAGAUUCAUCUCACAAUUUACAAAUAAACUGUGCAAUUAGUUUUUGUUUUCAUUUAUAUUUAAUGCUCCAUGCAUAUGCCCCAAAAUUCGAUUUGACGGAGAAUCUUAAAAAAUUUUGGCUACUUUUUGAGAACUAAACAAGGCCUAAUUUGCUUCCCACACAGAGUCAUGCGUCAUGGCGCCGGCCAUGGAAGAGAUUCCAGUUCUGGCAGAUCCAGCAGCCAUGAGCCGGCGAGGUUCCAGUGAAGGGUGGCCCAACACAGGCAAGGUCCACAGCGGCUUCACUUCCCUUAGAUCUAGCAAGGUGAGCCCCUUCUCCUCUAGUCCUCCCCAUGCAUGUCUAUGGUGGGGUCUAGUUAGGUGAGCCCUGGCUUCUCCUCACGUAGGUCCAUAGCAUUGCAGCCACGCAUAAGAUACUCGCCCAUCGAGGAAGAUGCCAGGAUCUAUUAGAUCCAUGGCAUGGAGGCACCACAACCCCCACGAGAUCUGUGUUUCCAAUGUUCCCCAUUCAACAGUUAUAAGUAUCUGGCCAUAUACAUGAGGGAAAAGUUAAAUAUGUACCACGUAAAACCUUGCUUAUUGUCUCAAUAUGCCUUGUUUGAAAAGUCCAGAUCUGCAAAGUAUGGAGAUAGUUGUGUGUAUUUUUAUUAUUUGAAUAGAUAAUGUCUUUCUCAACUAUUUUUCUGAUUUAAUUUGUUAUGCUAUAUCUCACUGAUGCAGACAACCCUAUUAUCUAGUUACUCACAAGCUGACACAAUAAAGAGAUACCACCAUGUGACAUGCCUCAGGGAAAGAAAGUGCAUGGUAAGAUUAUCAUCUUAAUUUUUUAUCUAGUUCUUCUGCUAAAUGUUGCCAAAGCCUAUAUCAAGCUGAUUUAGGUAAUUUAUUUACCUUUAUAUAGAGUGCUAGUACACUGAAUUUUAUUUGAGUAAUCUUCCCUGCAACUACAAGUGUUCAUUGAUGAUAAUGCAAGCAAACACACUGGUAUCCUCUUGUGUUGCGCAGCAGCAUUUUGCAUUCAUCCAGUGAUUGUCUUUGAUGACAUCUAUCUGGUAUGAUGCAUGAAGCUUGCUUGGUUUGGGUUUUUUUCUGGUGUGUGCAAGUACUCUUCCAUAGUUAUUUUUAGUAUGUGAUUUCUUUACAGUUUUGUUUGUUUUGGAAGAAGAAAAUGACAUGGUAAGAUUAGGCUACCAUGGGUCAAGACUGAAUAUUCUUAUUCUUUUUGGUGUCCAGGCAUAUAGUAGCUGGUUAUUUAUUCUUAAGUUAUUGCAGAACAAUUAGCACCUGUCAUCUUUCAGCAAUAGUAAGUGUUCAAUUGUUAGAUUAAUCUGAGCAUGCCUGGGAUUAGUGAAUGGUCAAUAUAUAGUACUGCUCUCUAUGAUCUAUAGUACUUAAUUUGCCAAUAUACUGUAGUACUCUCUAUGGUCACUCUUUUAAUUCAGAGACAUUGCACAAGCAAUCAUCUAUGCAGGCCUGUGACAUGAUGGAAUUGAAAAUUUUGUAGCUUUUAGAACUUGUGAGAUCUAGCCAGUUAAACUUUGUUCUACAGGAACAUUUAACAAGCUGCCUUAUGUCACACCUCAUGUGGGAUUGGAUUGUGAUUAGAAAGUAUGUAACUAAUUUAGCACAAGCAAUCAUCUAUGCAGGCUUUAUGUCGCACCCUAUGUUUCAGGUGCUGUGGAAAACAGUGGACAGCGCCUUCAGUUGUGGAGAGAAAUGGGCUCUGAUGGAAGAAGAUAUAAGCAUUUGAGCAAGCAGGUCUCCCACCUGGUUCAAGAGAAGGAUACAUGAGCUAGCAGUUGCAUAAUGUGAGUCCUAAUUUUGCUUGACGCCCAAUCCAUAAUUUUGUUAGUAAUUCUACUACUUAAGAAUUGAUGUUUCCUCCCAGUAAAGAUGCUUUCCAAGGAACAAUAUCAAACUGAAUAUUCACAAAGACUUGUCUCUAGUUAUUACUGUUGUUAUGUAGGCCAUGGUACUUCACAGAAAUUAGGUCCAGUGCAGAUUUAUAUGAAGUCCAGUUAGCUGCUGAGAUAACUCCUUGCUUUUAGUAGACAACACAUUUUUUUAUGAAUUCCUAGUCACCUGGUCACUACUUUGAUGCAAUCAUGCAAUUAUCACUUGUUCAUGUACCUGCAAUCUAGUGGUUGUCUUUUGCUUGUAAAGCGAGCUUCACUAACCAAGAAAAACAUUGCUAACUUACUCAUUUUGAACCCAGCACAAGUUUUCCAUAAGCACUGUGACAUGAUCUCUCAUGCAUGCUUAUUUUUAUCUUGUUUUCAAUGUAGGAUAUGGAGAUGAAUGGAUGUGUAGCAGAUAAUGUGUAUUGCUGUUGAAGGGCUUGUAGGAAGUAGGAAUUAAACUUCUAUUUCCUAUAUGUUAGUUGCAUGAACUAUAUAUAGCACUGCAACUUCGGUUUGCUUUAUUUUGCAAGGCCUUUACAAUGUAGCUUAAGAUUCACUGACAUUGUAUGAACGACUUCAAUGAUGAUUAUAUGUAUCAAACACUAGUGUAACAUUUAAUGUUGAUUGGCGUGUGGACGCAUAGUUAAAUCAAUGAUAUAAAUAGUUCAAUGAGC
rnacentral:lncRNA from 1 species